rnacentral:tRNA from 1 species
GUUUUAAUAAUUUAAAUAUAAAAUAUUGGUCUUGUAAACCAAAUUUAAGAUCUAACCCUUUUAAAACA